GCCGAACGCUGGCGGCAUGCCUAAUACAUGCAAGUCGAGCGAACAGAUGAAGUGCUUGCACUUCUGACGUUAGCGGCGAACGGGUGAGUAACACGUAAGGAAUCUACCUAUAAGCGGGGGAUAACAUUCGGAAACGGGUGCUAAUACCGCAUAAUAUCUUCUUCCGCAUGGAAGAAGAUUGAAAGACGGCUCUGCUGUCACUUAUAGAUGACCUUGCGGUGCAUUAGUUAGUUGGUGGGGUAAGGGCCUACCAAGACGAUGAUGCAUAGCCGCACUGAGAGGGUGAUCGGCCACAUUGGGACUGAGACACGGCCCAAACUCCUACGGGAGGCAGCAGUAGGGAAUCUUCCGCAAUGGGCGAAAGCCUGACGGAGCAAUGCCGCGUGAGUGAAGAAGGCCUUCGGGUCGUAAAACUCUGUUAUAAGAGAAGAACAAAUUGUAGAGUAACUGCUACAGUCUUGACGGUAUCUUAUCAGAAAGCCACGGCUAACUACGUGCCAGCCGCCGCCGUAA
rnacentral:rRNA from 1 species